rnacentral:tRNA from 1 species
UGACUCAGUGGUAGAGUGCUUGCCUCACAUGCAUGAGGUCCUGAGUUCAAUUCCUCAG